AGUGAACGCUGGCGGUAGGCCUAACACAUGCAAGUCGAACGGCAGCACAGGAGAGCUUGCUCUCUGGGUGGCGAGUGGCGGACGGGUGAGGAAUACAUCGGAAUCUACUUUUUCGUGGGGGAUAACGUAGGGAAACUUACGCUAAUACCGCAUACGACCUAAGGGUGAAAGCAGGGGACCUUCGGGCCUUGCGCGAUUGAAUGAGCCGAUGUCGGAUUAGCUAGUUGGCGGGGUAAAGGCCCACCAAGGCGACGAUCCGUAGCUGGUCUGAGAGGAUGAUCAGCCACACUGGAACUGAGACACGGUCCAGACUCCUACGGGAGGCAGCAGUGGGGAAUAUUGGACAAUGGGCGCAAGCCUGAUCCAGCCAUAUCGCGUGGGUGAAGAAGGCCUUCGGGUUGUAAAGCCCUUUUGUUGGGAAAGAAAUCCAGCUGGCUAAUACCCGGUUGGGAUGACGGUACCCAAAGAAUAAGCACCGGCUAACUUCGUGCCAGCCGCCGCGGUAA
rnacentral:rRNA from 1 species